GCGGCGUGCUUACCAUGCAGUCGAACGAUGAACCACUUCGGUGGGGAUUAGUGGCGAACGGGUGAGUAACACGUGGGCAAUCUGCCCUGCACUCUGGGACAAGCCCUGGAAACGGGGUCUAAUACCGGAUAUUGACCUUCACGGGCAUCUGUGAGGUUCGAAAGCUCCGGCGGUGCAGGAUGAGCCCGCGGCCUAUCAGCUUGUUGGUGAGGUAAUGGCUCACCAAGGCGACGACGGGUAGCCGGCCUGAGAGGGCGACCGGCCACACUGGGACUGAGACACGGCCCAGACUCCUACGGGAGGCAGCAGUGGGGAAUAUUGCACAAUGGGCGAAAGCCUGAUGCAGCGACGCCGCGUGAGGGAUGACGGCCUUCGGGUUGUAAACCUCUUUCAGCAGGGAAGAAGCGAAAGUGACGGUACCUGCAGAAGAAGCGCCGGCUAACUACGUGCCAGCAGCCGCGGUAAUACGUAGGGCGCAAGCGUUGUCCGGAAUUAUUGGGCGUAAAGAGCUCGUAGGCGGCUUGUCACGUCGGUUGUGAAAGCCCGGGGCUUAACCCCGGGUCUGCAGUCGAUACGGGCAGGCUAGAGUUCGGUAGGGGAGAUCGGAAUUCCUGGUGUAGCGGUGAAAUGCGCAGAUAUCAGGAGGAACACCGGUGGCGAAGGCGGAUCUCUGGGCCGAUACUGACGCUGAGGAGCGAAAGCGUGGGGAGCGAACAGGAUUAGAUACCCUGGUAGUCCACGCCGUAAACGGUGGGCACUAGGUGUGGGCAACAUUCCACGUUGUCCGUGCCGCAGCUAA
rnacentral:rRNA from 1 species